rnacentral:tRNA from 1 species
UCCGGGGUGGUGUAACUGGUAACACGCGUGACUUUGACUCACGAACUGGGGGUUCGAGUCCCUCACCCGGAGCCA